CCUAUCUGGUGUGCAUACUGAAUGAAUCACUGCAUCAGCCAGGACUAGUUCUGCAGCAUUUUUUUAUCAUUAAUUCGUAUGUACUCACUGCAACUCUACUAGUCGCAGCGUCGAGAACUCAAUUCUCUUCUCUCCCAGACCGAACACUUUCUUUCCGAUCCAAUUCACUGCAACUCUACGAGUAUUCCCUGGGUUCAUUUGCACUAAAACCACGACAAAUUAUUUAGAAACGGAAAAAAUAAUUACUUUUCAUUGCAUCACGUCCACGAGAGACAACCCACAAAGUCCCGACCGAGGCCCAACGUCACUAAGUCUCUAGAUUGCUUACCUAUAGUCUCCAAAUAUUCCCGUCAUAAUUUCAUUCUUAGGAAUCGAUAAAUGUCAUUGUCCGAUGUCAUUUUCAGUGAUCCGCAAAUGUUUCAGGUGCAGCAAUUUCCACACACGACGUCUUGACUCAGGCACUCAUGAAUUGUAAAGAAAUCCUCCGAAGGUGGCCAACAAAUUAUACUAUGUGCUUUGCCUCUAGCUAGGCCUCUAGCUAGGCACCAGUGCCGGCCGGCCAGCUGGGACAAGUUAACCGGUCACGUUCCACAAAAGAAAAAAAAAGUUAACCGGUCACGAUCAACCACUACUGGCUUACAAAUAUUGGUUUAACUAGGUCUUCGAUGGUCGUAUUGUCCUUUCCCUCAAAAAAAAAUGGUCGUAUUGUCCAAUCAAGGCAAUCAUAUCUGCCAAGUUCAGUGCUGCUACCAAACUUUGACGCUUCUUCUUUGCGUGGCCUGCCAACAUGUUUAUCUGCUCUUCGAUGCUCCCCAGAUGAUAAAAAAGGACAAGAUCCAAGCUAAUUAUUAGCUAGACAAGAAAAAGAAGAUAAGUGUACAAAAAAUGUAACACGGCGUCAACUACCGAUAUCCAUACAAUCUUGGGCCGGACAAAUGGGCUGUUGGGUAUUUUAUUUCUCAAUAUUUUGGGCCAGCCCAACAUGGAUCUGCAGUUUCUUUUGUCCUUUUGUCACUUUUCGUUUUUGUGUUUCUUUUCCUUUUCUUUAUAAUUUUCACAUUUGAAGAUUCAGCAGCUAAACAAUGAUUCCAUUUGUUUGUGUAUAUUAAGUAAAAUGCAAGUCGUAAUGAAUGUUCUUCUAAAUCACAAAAUGUCUUUUUGUCGCAUGUGAAACAUAUUUUAUACUAACAUAGUGUAC
rnacentral:lncRNA from 1 species